CCUACGUGAGGCAGCAGUGGGGAAUAUUGCACAAUGGGGGAAACCCUGAUGCAGCGACGCCGCGUGAGUGAAGAAGUAAUUCGUUAUGUAAAGCUCUAUCAGCAGGGAAGAAAAUGACGGUACCUGAGUAAGAAGCCCCGGCUAACUACGUGCCAGCAGCCGCGGUAAUACGUAGGGGGCAAGCGUUCUCCGGAUUGACUGGGUGUAAAGGGAGCGUAGACGGCAGUGCAAGUCUGGAGUGAAAGGCGGGGGCUCAACCCCCGGACUGCUCUGGAAACUGUACGGCUGGAGUGCAGGAGAGGUAAGUGGAAUUCCUAGUGUAGCGGUGAAAUGCGUAGAUAUUAGGAGGAACACCAGUGGCGAAGGCGGCUUACUGGACUGUAACUGACGUUGAGGCUCGAAAGCGUGGGGAGCAAACAGGAUUAGAUACCCGAGUAGUC
rnacentral:rRNA from 1 species